rnacentral:tRNA from 1 species
GGAGACGUGCCCGAAGAAACCAAGGACUACUUUGAUAGAGUACAUCACAGGGGUUAAAACCCCCUCGCCUCCC